AAAAAUAGAAACAAAUGAGAGUUUUGUCAUUUUUAUCAUAAUAAUGAUAACAAUAAUAAACAUUUAAAUUUAUAAUGUGUCAAAUUAAUUAAGAUUUUAUUGUGUAUUCACUAAAAAAAUAAAAAUGAGAGUUUUGUAAUUUUUAUAAAAUAUAAUAAUAUUAAUAAUGCAUAUUUAAAUUUAAAAUUGAAUCCAAUCAGACCAGAUUUUACAAUUUAUUUCAGUUUUAUAGUAAUAAAAAUAUUAAUUAUUCAUAUUUAAAUGUAUAAUUUAGUCAAAUCAACAGAGUUUUAAAGUGUGUAUUGACUUGAAAAAUAGAAAAAAAAAUCUUCAUCUUUAAAAAUAUAUAUUUAAAUUUAUUCAAAUUCAUAAUUUAGUCAAAUCAGAUCACAUUUUAGAGUUUAUUUUAAUGUAAAAAUAGAGUGGACUGUACUUUUUAUAAUAACAAUAGUGAUAUUAAUAAUAAUAAUAAUGCAUGUUUAAAUGUAGCAUUUAGUCAAAUUAACAGAUUUUAGAGUUUAUUUUAAUGGAAAAAUUAGAAAAAACAAGAGUUUUGCAUUUUUUUAAAUGAUAUUAAUAUGUUUUUAAAUUUAUAACUUUGUCCAAUGAGAUCAGGUUUUAGAUUUUGGCUUGACUUUAUAAUAAGAAUUUUAUUUAGAAUGUGUAUUUAAAUGUAUCAUUUAGUAAAAUUAAAACAGAUUUUAGAGUGUUUUUACUGGAAAAAUAAAAUAAAAUGAGUUUUGCAUUCUUACAAUAGUAAUUAUUAUUCAUAUUUAAAUGUAUAAUUGAGUCAAAACAACUCAAGAUUUACAGUUUAUUCACUGUAAAAACAGAAAAAUAAGAGUUCUGCUUCAAUAUUUGUGCAGGAGAACAAAAUUCUGUUUAAUAUUUAAGUGCAAAAAAGCAUAAAAAAAGUCAAACAUGCGGGUGGAUUCUGUCAGAUUUAUUCAUUUAUUAAGGAUUAAAAUGUUCACAUGUUAACUUUGAAAAUUAACUUAAAAAUAUUAAAUAAACGUUUUUAUGAUUUAUGUAUAAUUAAGUUAAAUCAAAUCAGAUUUUAGAGUGUAUUCGGUGUAAAACUGAGAAUCGUUUGGAAAAAAAGUCUUUUUUCACCUUUUUAUGUUUUGUUUUUUGUUUUUGCUGUUUUUUACGUAAAAUUUAUAAUUGAAUCAAAUCAACUCAGAUUAUUUACUAAAGAAAAUUAAAGUUUUGCAUCAAUAAUAAUAAUAAUAACGGUACAUUUUAUUUGUAAGCGCCUUUCUUGACGCCCAAAGUCACUUUACAGAAAAACUAAUUAUAUAUAUUAGACUUAGAUAUAUUAUAAUAACCUUUACGUGUUUUGUUUUUUUCUAUUUUUUGCGAUAUUUUUAGAUUUUAAAUGUAUAAUUAUUCAAAUGAAUUCAGACUUCCUAAUUUUUUUACUACAAAAAUAUGAAUUUUGUAUUAAUUAUUGUACAAGAGAAUGAAAUGUAGUUUAAUAUUUAACCAGAAGUGCAAAAAAAAAACUUUAAAAAGCAAAAAAAAAAAGAAAAUAAAACAUCCAAACAGAAUGGCCGUUGAUCUGAGUUUUUAUUUCUACUUUGAUUACUAAAAUCCUGCACAUUUAGUCAUUAAUUCUGACACAAAUAUAAAAGAUUCUCUGCUGAUUAGUUUGAAUUUGCAUGAACAAAAUAAACAUUUACCAGAUUAAAUGUAAAUCUUUGGUGGUUUUUCUUUGUUCUUUAAUGCUUAAAAUGUGUUUCUGCAGGUUUAAAUCUCAGGAGGAGGCAAAACAAAGAGAUUUUUAAAAGUUUAAUUUAAAAAACAGUGAAUGUUUCAGCUACGGGAGGCUUCAGAUUAUCAUUUUUUUUUAAAGAAAAAAUCUGCAGAAAUCCAACAAUUCCAACACAAAUGUAAAUUCAGAAUGAUUUUUCUGCAGUUUAAUUUUAAUUUGCAUGAAGAGAAUAAAACAUAUGUGGCAGAAAUUCUUAUAAAACCAUAAAAUAUUAAAAUAUAAUCUAUACAAUCUGUACAGGAGGCUUUAAAUUUAGACUUUUGGAAGUAAAAUCCUGCAGAACUCCACUACAUUUCUCACAUUUUGUCAUUAAUUCCAAGAUAAAUUUGAAUUCUGUAUGAUUUUUCUGCAGUUGAAGUUUAAAAUGCAUGAAUAAAACAAAACAUAGGAGACAGAAAUCCUGAUUAAAAUGUAAAAUAUUAAAAUAUAAUCUUGUAAAACUGUGCUACAGGCUUUAAAUUUAGACUUUUGGAAGAAAAAUCCUGCAUAUUUGAUCAUUAUUUCCAACACAGAAUAAGUUCUAAUGAUUUUUCUGCUGGUGAAUUGACAUAUUUAUUCAUAGAAUUAAACAUAAAGAGGAUUUAACACAGGCAGUGUGAAUUUUAGCAGGUGGCAGAAAUAAAAAUGGUAUUUAAAAUCAUUCACUAUAGUCUCUAUAAACUGAAUGUUUCAGCUACAGGAGGCUAUAAAUGGACAUUUUUUGAAGUAAAGUCCUGCAGAAAUCCACCACAUUUUUCACAUUUAAUCAUUAAUUCAAACACAAAUAUAAAUUCUGAAUGAUUUUUCUGCAGAUUAUCUUUACUUUGCAUGACUAGAAUCAAACAUAGCACAGAUUAAAUGUAAAUCUUCUGUGUUUCUUGUUCUUUAAACGUUCCUCUGCAGGUUUUUCCAUCAGCUGUUUAUUAUCCUGGGCUUUUAUUUUGGAGGGCUGUGAGUGUCUUCAUGCAGCAUCUCUUUGUUUCUGGUCUCUGAAUCUUGGCAGAUGUGACUCAGUGUGUUUUCUGCUGGCUGCCAGGCUUUUUAUUUUCUGUUUUUCUGCUGCUGUGGUCACUCUGGUGGUGUUUCUCUGCAGGUGAUCUGCUGCUGCUGGACAUUUGUCCGCUUGGUCUUUUCUCAUCUGGUCGGAGGCCGAGGCUGGAGGGAAACUCUCUGCAUCUUCCUUUCCUGGCAGCGCAGAAAGGCGCCACAGACUUCACUGAUUCCAUCACUUGUACCACCAGAUGUGCCGCCGGCUGCAUGAACAUGGCGGUGCAGAGUUUGGUUCCUCUUGGUUUGGUGCAGACAUACUUUGCCUAAUGAUAAAAUACACCUCUGAACUCAGGAGGAGAUUUUCAUCACUGCUGGGAAAUGGAAUUGUAACUUACUUCCGCCUGUUUUCUGGUUAGUUGGACACUGAUUAUGAAGGAGAGCACUUCCCUCAAGGACGCCAUCGACGGCGGCGCUCAGGCCCUAAAUGUGAGGGUUCUUUGCAUCUGAAAGACUUGCGCUCAUCCAUCAUCGGCGGGAGUGAAACUCUCUGCAGCGUCUGUGUUUCCCAAAUUAAAUUCUCCACAGUGGCUGCAUCGGAGGACGAUUCAGUCGGCAGCUCUGCAGCGGAGAUGAGGAUCCUGACAAAGCUGCCAUCAGAAAGGUGUCGGCGGCUCAGGUGAUCUGUGAGCAACAGGAAAAGGAAAGGCAGUUCUGCUGCAGCCUGCACGGUGGCGGCAGCAGCAUUUAAUGCUACACUUUACAACAGGCUGAUAUUGUUAUGCUAUAUUAACUUGCUCUAGCACUAGUUAACAAAUGUGCCUGUGAUUGUGCAUGAAGUUAAUACGGUUAUGUUAUUUUAGCUUGCUGUAGCACAAGUUAACAAAAUAGCUGAAUUUAUGCUGUGCUAAUAACAUGAUGUUAAAUUAGCUUGCUGUAACACCAGCUAACAAACUACCAAACUUUACAACAGGCUGUUAACAUUAUGCUAUAUUAGCUUGCUGUAUCCCUAUCUAAAAAACUAGCUGACUAUAUGUAAAACUAAUAAUAUUAUGCUAUAUUAGCUUGCUGUAGUACUAGCUAGCAAAUUACCAACUGGCUGAUAAUGUUUUUCUAUAUUAAUUUGCUGUAUCACUUCCUAACAAAGUAGUUGACAGUAUGUUGUGCUAAUAAUAUUAUGCUAUAUUAGCAUAAUAGCAAAUUAGCAGGCUUUAAAAUAAAUUGAUUGUGUUGUGCUAUAUUAGCUUGCCUUAGCAUUCAUUAAUGUGCUUGUGUUUGUGUAUCAAGUUUCUAAGGCUAUGCUAUAUUAAACAGUUGUUAGCAUGAGCUAACAAACUGGCUGUCUUUAUUUAGGCAAAUAAUGUCAUUGUAUAUUUGCUUGCUGUAGUAGUGCAAUAGUGGUACAAUAGGUGGAUAAUGCUGUGCUAUAUUAGCUUGUUGUAGCGCACACUAACAUGCUAAUAAUGCUGUUGUAUAUAAGCUUACUUGCCCCAGCACAGUCUAACAAACUAGCUGACUUUAUGUAUAGCUAAUGAUGUCAUUUGCUAUAAAUUCUACAAAUGCUUUAGCACAAGCAUUAAAAUGUUGCCACCACCACCAUGCAGGCCAGAGCAGAAUUCUCUGUUCUGCUGCGGCCUGCAUGGCGGCGGCGGCAACAUUUCACAGCUGACAAAUGGACAAAUGCCCGAGAAAAGCAUCAGAGUGGAAAUUAGACCAAGUCUGAACGGCCCUCAUGUCCCCAUAAUGCAAACACAGUUCCCAUUUUCAAAUCGCCGGCAGCUGUAGUCAUUGAAACAAAUGUUCCUAAUGUUCUCCUCUGCAUGGAGCUCCGGAGACUCGUGAAAGGAUCAAAGGAACAUGUGGCUGCGAGGAGCCGACGUCCAACAAUAGCGGACGGAAGCGGCCAAACGACAUUGUCAGCCACUUCAUUUUAAUUGCGCGGAUUAUGAGAUCAUUUCCAAAGCUAAUGUUUCUUGUUUCACUGCCUUUCACGUUUGCUCCCCUCUUUUAUUGUUCCCCUGAAAAGCUAAUUCGGGCCUUUCACGCUUUAAUUCCACUCUUUCAGCUCGCCCAAGGAAAAAUACCCACACGGGGACAUGGAAGUGGUCGUCAUUAGCGACUGGAAUCCUGCAGCUCGAGGUCUGACAGAACCAGCAGAUGAAAUCGUUUCAAACAUCCAGCUCUUUGAAAACCUGCACAAUGGAAGCUGUUCAUAUCGACAGAAGUUCCCUCUUCUUAUAUUCUUCAUUCUGUGGUUGAGAUGAAAUCAAUAUUCAAGAUAGCAGCAUUUAAAAGAAAAACAAAUAAAGCUAAGACUUCAUAUACUAUCACAAGCACGUUUAUUAGCUAGUGGCAGGACAAGCUAAUAUAGCUCAAUAUUAUGAGUCUAUUGUACUACAUUGUGCUACUACAGCAAGCUAAUAUACACCAUUAUUAGCAGUCAGUUAUUUUUUAUAACCUAGUGCUACAAAAAGCUUAUUAUAAAUGACACUGUUAGCUUUACAUAAACUUAAGUAGCUUGUUAGCCAGUGCUACAGCAAGCUAAUACAGCAUAACAGUAUCCGUGUGUUGUAAAAUUUAAUAGUUUGUUAGCUAGUACACAGAAAAAUAUGAUUAAAUAACAUUAUCAGCUUACCAUAAACUCAGCUAGUUCAUUCGCUUGUGCUAUGGCAAGCUAAUAUGGCAUAUCUUUAUGAAACUGAUACACAAUCAUGAGCACACUUGGUAGCUAGUGCUCGGACAGGCUAAUAGAGCAUAAUAUUAUCAGCAUGUUGAAAAGUUGGUUAGUUUGUUAGCUAGUACAACCGCAAGCUGAUAUACAACAACAUUAUUGUCUUAACAUUAUUAGCAUAACAUAAAGCUAGCUUGUCAGUUAAUGCUACAAAAAGCUCAGAGUGAAUGAUAUUAUUAGCAUAACAUAAAGUCAGCUAGUCUGUUAGCAAGCUAAUAGCAAACUAAUAUAAUAAAACAUUAUUGGCUUAACAUAAACUCAGCUGACUGUAAAAUUGUGAAAAUUAAUUAAAUUGUGGUACAGCAAGGUAAUAAAGCAUAACCUUAAGCUAAUACGCAAUUUCCUUCACUCUAGGCUUUUUGUAGCACCAGCAAAAAAAAUCUAGCAUGCUUUAUGUAAAGUCAGUUAGUUUUUUCAGCCAGUGCAGCAAAAAUCUUAUAAUGAAUGACAUUAUGAGCUUACCAUAAAGUCAGCUACUUUCUUAGCUUCUGCUACAGCAAGCUAAUAUACAACAACAUUAUUAGCUUAACAUAAAGUCAGGUAGUUUGUUAGCUUCUGCCACAGCAAGUUACCAUAGCAUAGCCUUAUUAACUUCACAUACAGUCAGACAGUUUGUUAACUAAUGCAACAAAAAGCUUACAGUAAAUUAUAUUAUCAACUUACCAUAAAGUUAGCUAGUUUGUUAGGUUUUGUUACAGCAAGCUAAUAUAGCGUAACCUUAUAACUUAACAUGAAGUCAGCUUGGCUAGUGCAACAAAAAGCUUAAGGUGAAUAACAUCUUUAGCUUAACAUAAAAUCAGCUAGUUUGUUAGCAAGUGAUGUAGCAAGCUAAUAUAGCAUAACAUUCUUAACUUAUAGUAAAGUCAACUAGUUUUGGGGGGUGUUUAGCUGGUGCAACAAAAACCCUAUUGUAAAUGGCAUUAUUAGCUUAACAUAAGGUCAGCUAGUUUGAUAGCUUGUGAUACGGCAAGCCAAUGCAGCAUAACAUUAUUAGCUUAUCGUAAAGUCAGCAACUUUUUUUUAGCAUGUGCAACUAAAAGGCUAUCACGAAUGACAUUAUGGGGAUGGCUAGUAACUACGUCAUCGUGUCCAAAAACGUCACUUCCGUGUCCUACCAAACCAACGAUAUAAUGGUGCUGUGUUGUGUCCCAUGUUGCAACAAUAGAAAUGAUGUAAAUAAAACGAUAUCUUUCUACCGCUUUCCUCUGGACGAAAAGGAGAAGAGAAGAUGGCUGACACUGAUAAGGUAAGUCGGAUUUCUAAUCUUAGAAAAUACAUUUAGCGCCGGGAGCUAACGUGCGCUAGCUAGUAUUAGCCGCUUGAAUCAUGUUAUCUUUUAGUGUUACGAGGAGUGUUUGGGCCACAUUACAAAAGAAACUAAAAGUGGUCGAGAUUAAAGUCUCUGAUAAUAAGUUUAUACUUUUAAUUUAUAAGAAUAAAGUCUGCCGAGGGAGACUUUUGUCCCAGUUUUGGGGACUUGGACUUGCUUGACCAAUCUGCCCAAAAUACUCGACUUGACGAGGAUAUGGGUCUAUGUGACUUGCACUUUCCCUUUAAAACCACCUGCCAGCACACUAACAUUUGCAACUCUGCUUGAGUUGUAAGAGUUAAGACCUCGCUUUACCGACUUCGGAAAAUCCGCAAAAUAAGAUGUCACAGUGAAAAAGGUGACCGGUUCUUUCGCUACUGCCAUUUUUUUAUUCGGUGCGCCACGGCGUAGGACACAGAAGUGGUCCGUGAUGUCACACUAGCCAUUCCCAUUAGCGGAACAUAAAGUUAGUUGUUUUUUUGCCUGACCUACAGCAAGCAAAUAUAGCAUAGCCUUAUUAAUUUAGCAUAAAAUCAGGUAGUUUUUUUAGCUAGUUCUACAAAAAGCCCAUAGUGAAUGAUAUUAUUAGCUUAAUGUCAAGUCAGCUUGUUUGUUAGCUGACUGUAAAAACUGUGAAGAGAACAGCAAAUAUCUGUUAAAUGAUGACGUUUUACGAAAUGAAAAUACAUCAAAACAGUGUAGGUAUAUUUGUAAAUGUAACAGGAACUAAUUACUGCUUGGACAAUAAAGGUUUCUGAUGUGGACAUUA